rfam:Medicago truncatula strain A17 chromosome 1, whole genome shotgun sequence.
UUCUUGGCUUAAACGCUCAAUUGAUCCCUUAACUUUAUUUAAAGCAUUAAUUUGGUCCUUUCUGUUAAUUUAAGUCAAAAAAAUGUUAAGUUUUGAUCCCUUAACUUAUUUAAUUAGUAUUAGUUUGGUCCCUAAACUUAACAUUUUUUGAAUUAAAUUAAUAGAACGGACCAAACCGAUACUUGAAAUAAAUUUAAGGGACCUAAACGAACCUUUUAUUACUUAUGGGA